rnacentral:lncRNA from 1 species
CGAGCGGAGAUAGAGCGAUUUGGACUGGGUUCAGUGCGACUGGCGAGAGAAAGAGGCAAACAGAUCGAUCGAUCGGACUGGGAGUGCAGAUGAUGAUAGAUCAAGCUCGAGGUCUAGAGGUCUGGAGAACGAGAUAGGGGACUCGGGGUCAGAGAGCGAGGCAGGGGAACACGGGGUCAGAGACUGACGUCGGGGACUCGGGGUCAGGUCGGAGGCGGCUUGGAGAAUGAUGAGGUCGACAAGGUGAGGUCGACGAGG